rnacentral:rRNA from 1 species
ACGGAAGGCAGCAGUGGGGAAUAUUGGGCAAUGGGCGCAAGCCUGACCCAGCAAUGCCGCGUGAAGGAAGAAGGCUUUCGGGUUGUAAACUUCUUUUAAGUGGGACGAUAAUGACGGUACCCUUGAAUAAGCUCCGGCUAACUACGUGCCAGCAGCCGCGGUAAUACGUAGGUGGCAAGCGUUAUCCGGAUUUACUGGGUGUAAAGGGCGCGUAGGCGGGGAUGCAAGUCAGAUGUGAAAUCUAUGGGCUUAACUCAUAAACUGCAUUUGAAGCUGUAUCUCUUGAGUGCUGGAGAGGUAGACGGAAUUCCUAGUGUAGCGGUGAAAUGCGUAGAUAUUAGGAAGAACACCAGUGGCGAAGGCGGUCUACUGGACAGUAACUGACGCUGAGGCGCGAAAGCGUGGGGAGCAAACAGGAUUAGAUACCCUGGUA